UACGGAGGGUGCAAGCAUUGAUCGGAAUUACUGGGCGUAAAGGGCGCGUAGGCGGCUGGGAAAGUCGGGUGUGAAAUUCCAAGGCUCAACCUUGGAGCAGCACACGAAACUGUCCGGCUAGAGUGCAGUUAGGGAAAACGGAAUUCCACAUGUAGCGGUGAAAUGCGUAGAUAUGUGGAGGAACACCGGUGGUGAAGACGGUUUUCUGGGCUGUAACAGACGCUGAGGCGCGAAAGCAUGGGGAGCAAACAGG
rnacentral:rRNA from 1 species